rnacentral:rRNA from 1 species
AAACUUUUCAGCUAGAGUAUGAUAGAGGAAAGCAGAAUUUCUAGUGUAGAGGUGAAAUUCGUAGAUAUUAGAAAGAAUACCAAUUGCGAAGGCAGCUUUCUGGAUCAUUACUGACACUGAGGAACGAAAGCAUGGGUAGCGAAGAGGAUUAGAUACCCUCGUAGUCCAUGCCGUAAACGAUGUGUGUUAGACGUUGGAAAUUUAUUUUCAGUGUCGCAGGGAAACCGAUAAACACACCGCCUGGGGAGUACGACCGCAAGGUUAAAACUCAAAAUGAAUUGACGGGGACCCGCACAAGUAGUGGAGCAUGUGGUUUAAUUCGAAGAUACGCGCAGAACCUUACCAACACUUGACAUGUUCGUCGCGACUCUAAGAGAUUAGAGUUUUCGGUUCGGCCGGACGAAACACAGGUGCUGCAUGGCUGUCGUCAGCUCGUGUCGUGAGAUGUUGGGUUAAGUCCCGCAACGAGCGCAACCCUCACUUUUAGUUGCCAUCAUUAAGUUGGGCACUCUGAAAGAACUGCCAGUGAUAAGCUGGAGGAAGGUGGGGAUGACGUCAAGUCCUCAUGGCCCUUACGUGUUGGGCUGCACACGUGCUACAAUGGUAUCUACAACAGGAAGCAAGACUGCGAAGUUAAGCAAAUCCCUAAAAGAUACCUCAGUUCGGAUUGCACUCUGCAACUCGAGUGCAUGAAGCUGGAAUUACUAGUAAUCGUGGAUCAGCGUGCCACGGUGAAUGCGUUCCCGGGUCUUGUACACACCGCCCGUCACACCAUGGGAGUUGGUUCUACCUUAAGGCAAGGUUUAAAACCCUUGACCACGGUAUAGUCAGCGACUGGGGUGAAGUCGUAACAAGGUAACCGUA